rnacentral:tRNA from 1 species
CCCUGACCAGUCCAAUGGUUAGGACUUUGCACUGCCAGUGCAGGGCUGCAGGUUCAAUCCCUGGUCAGGGG